rnacentral:rRNA from 1 species
AUUGAACGCUGGCGGCAGGCCUAACACAUGCAAGUCGAACGAGUGGCGGACGGGUGAGUAAUGUCUGGGAAACUGCCCGAUGGAGGGGGAUAACUACUGGAAACGGUAGCUAAUACCGCAUACCAUCAGAUGUGCCCAGAUGGGAUUAGCUAGUUGGUGGGGUAACGGCUAACCAAGGCGACGAUCCCUAGCUGUUCUGAGAGGAUGACCAGCCACACGGGAACUGAGACACGCUCCAGACUCCUACGGGAGGAAGCAGGGGGGAAUAUGGCACAAUGGGGGAAAGCCGGAUGCAGCCAGGCCGGGGGUAUGAAGAGGGCCUUCGGUUUGUAAAGUACUUUAAGCGGGGAGGCGGUACCGGCAGAAGAAGCACCGGCUAACUCCGUGCCAGCAGCCGCGGUAAUAC